GACGAACGCUGGCGGCGUGCUUAACACAUGCAAGUCGAACGCUGAAGCCUGGCUUUUGUUGGGUGGAUGAGUGGCGAACGGGUGAGUAACACGUGAGUAACCUGCCCCCUUCUUUGGGAUAACGCCCGGAAACGGGUGCUAAUACUGGAUAUUCACUGGUCUUCGCAUGGGGGUUGGUGGAAAGGGUUUUCUGGUGGGGGAUGGGCUCGCGGCCUAUCAGCUUGUUGGUGGGGUGAUGGCCUACCAAGGCUUUGACGGGUAGCCGGCCUGAGAGGGUGACCGGUCACAUUGGGACUGAGAUACGGCCCAGACUCCUACGGGAGGCAGCAGUGGGGAAUAUUGCACAAUGGGCGCAAGCCUGAUGCAGCGACGCCGCGUGAGGGAUGGAGGCCUUCGGGUUGUGAACCUCUUUCGCUCAUGGUCAAGCCGCAACUGUGGGUUGUGG
rnacentral:rRNA from 1 species